CCUACGGGUGGCAGCAGUGAGGAAUAUUGGUCAAUGGACGAGAGUCUGAACCAGCCAAGUAGCGUGAAGGAUGACUGCCCUAUGGGUUGUAAACUUCUUUUAUAUGGGAAUAAAAUGUUCCACGUGUGGGCUUUUGUAUGUACCAUAUGAAUAAGGAUCGGCUAACUCCGUGCCAGCAGCCGCGGUAAUACAGAGGAUCCGAGCGUUAUCCGGAUUUAUUGGGUUUAAAGGGGGCGUAGGUGGAUUGUUAAGUCAGUUGUGAAAGUUUGCGGCUCAACCGUAAAAUUGCAGUUGAAACUGGCAGUCUUGAGUACAGUAGAGGUGGGCGGAAUUCGUGGUGUAGCGGUGAAAUGCUUAGAUAUCACGAAGAACUCCGAUUGCGAAGGCAGCUCACUGGACUGCAACUGACACUGAGGCUCGAAAGUGUGGGUAUCAAACAGGAUUAGAUACCCUAGUAGUC
rnacentral:rRNA from 1 species